UACGUAGGGUGCGAGCGUUGUCCGGAAUUACUGGGCGUAAAGAGCUCGUAGGUGGUUUGUCGCGUUGUCUGUGAAAUCCUACCGCUUAACGGUGGGCGUGCAGGCGAUACGGGCAGGCUGGAGUACUGCAGGGGAGACUGGAAUUCCUGGUGUAGCGGUGAAAUGCGCAGAUAUCAGGAGGAACACCGGUGGCGAAGGCGGGUCUCUGGGCAGUAACUGACGCUGAGGAG
rnacentral:rRNA from 1 species